UACAGAGGGGGCAAGCGUUAUUCGGAAUUAUUGGGCGUAAAGGGCGCGUAGGCGGCCUGGCAAGUGGAAGGUGAAAUCCCUCGGCUUAACCGAGGAACUGCCUCCCAGACUGCUUGGCUCGAGUCCGGAAGAGGCGAGUGGAAUUCCCGGUGUAGCGGUGAAAUGCGCAGAUAUCGGGAGGAACACCAAUGGCGAAGGCAGCUCGCUGGGACGGUACUGACGCUGAGACGCGAAAGCGUGGGGAGCAACAGGG
rnacentral:rRNA from 1 species